rnacentral:lncRNA from 1 species
ACUUAGCUAACGUUUGCUAUUUACCCGCAACUGUUUCCAUUUUCCUUAAGUGGGAGAUAUCUUUGGUGUAGUUCGCCUUUCCAGUUGAACACUGGUAUAUAUAUAUAUAUACCGUAUAUAUACCGUAUUCUAUAUAUAUAUAUAUAUAUAUCGUAUUUUACCGACGUAGCGGUUAAUUGUUGUAUUACGAAAGUCGUAGUGUGAGGCGAUUUUGUGUAGACAGCUAGCAUAGCAACUGUUGUCUGGUCUCGCGAUGGUUUUACCGCCACUUCUGUGAGCGUUCUGAUUGGCCAGUUCCGUGGGCGACGCUCACUCUGUGGAAGUUGCUAUGCUUUGUAGUUUAGCCAGUUCCGUGGGCGGUGCCCACUCUGUGGACGUUGCUAUGCUUUGUAGUUUAGCCAGUUCCGUGGGCGGUUGCCCACUCUGUGGAAGUUGCUGUGCUUUGUAGUUUAGCCAGUUCCGUGGGCGGUUGCCCACUCUGUGGAAGUUGCUAUGCUUUGUAGUUUAGCCAGUUCCGUGGGCGGUGCCCACUCUGUGGACGUUGCUAUGCUUUGUAGUUUAGCCAGUUCCGUGGGCGGUUGCCCACUCUGUGGACGUUGCUGUGCUUUGUAGUUUAGCCAGUUCCGUGGGCGGUUGCCCACUCUGUGGACGUUGCUAUGCUUUGUAGUUUAGCCAGUUCCGUGGGCGGUUGCCCACUCUGUGGACGUUGCUGUGCUUUGUAGUUUAGCCAGUUCCGUGGGCGGUGCCCACUCUGUGGACGUUGCUAUGCUUUGUAGUUUAGCCAGUUCCGUGGGCGGUUGCCCACUCUGUGGACGUUGCUGUGCUUUGUAGUUUACCUCGUUUCAUGUGGGAUUAUGGUGACUGGAUGGGUUCAGUAAAGAACUACGUUUUUUCCGAGUUAGGCAACUUUUCAACCCGUUGUGUGCAAAACGUUCACUGUUUUGUCGUGUGUCCUGACAGAUCGAUGCCAUUGGCCGAGGCGCCCGCAGUGUCUCCCACAGGAUGAUCAGGAUGUCAUUGGACAAAGAGACUGUUCUACAGCGUGAUGGGCGGGGCGACGCUGCUGUCCCAGAAGGCCCUGCGUCAG